rnacentral:lncRNA from 1 species
UUCUUUUACGACGGAGCUCUAGAUCUUCCUUUGUCCAGUUGGUGAGUGAUUUGCAAGUCGGAUAAUCAAGUGAAAUAUAGGGGUGCAACGAGGAUUUGGACGCUUCGGAGACUUGAGCUUAGGGUACCAGUGUGAACUUCCUCUGAGAAGUGCACAGUAGCUAAUAAUAUUUCGGGAUUGGACCCUAGGCCCCAGGGAGAUUAGUAGUGGGCCGCCUGACUGAAGGCCGCAUGCAUUAUAGUUCCUGAUUCCCACCUUGGGUGCGUCCUUAACGCAUCAGGGUUUGCACCCUGUUGGUCUGUACAGAAGGUACUGGAGUCACCUAAAGAGACAUCCUAUUAUAUGCACGUUCACAAGAACAAUGGCGCCAUUGUUCUUAGCGUCUUCAAACCAACUGCAAGAAGAAACCAAGAUGGAGGGGAGCCCAAAUCAUCGGAGAGAAUUGAUAAGGGAGAGAGAUUUGCUUAAAACUUGACCGUUUUAAAGGUGAAUGCUGACCAGUGAGAAAACUAGAUAUGGUGACCAUCAAGAAAGGGCAGAGACAAGAAGAAAAUGCAGUCUUGGUGCUGGGAUGUUUGACAUGGGGUCUAUCUACGUGUCUCUAGCUGUCCCUAUGUAGUAAUCGGGACAGCAUCUGGUAUGGCCUGCAGAGUUGAUUCGUGUACUUUUUUUGUGGACUGUAUGUAAAUGGAUUGUUUUGACAAUCCAUUCGACAGUGUUCUCUUCUGUGAAGAUCAUGGGUGAGCUGAUGACAGACACAGCUGUACAGACUGAGCAGAGUGAAGGCAAUCCUGACUGUAAGGCAGCAGUUCGUUAUAAGCUAUUUCCUUAUUCUGUCUGAUUGCUUGGGAGUGUUGAAAUAAACAUUUAAUUGCAAA